CCGCGCUAGACGGGGAGGUAGCGGUGCCCUGUAACCUGCAAUCCGCUAUAGCGGGGUUGAAUUCCUUGUUAGAGGUCCUGUCGAUGUAAGGUCUGACGCUUACACGUGGUGUUGACGGCCGGGUCCUCCGCAAUGGAUGCUCAUGAACCUGGUCAGGUCCGGAAGGAAGCAGCCAUAAGUGAGAUUUUUCAUGUGCCGGAGGGCAGCCUAGCCAGAGCUAACGAUAAGCGUUCCGCUUGGAUCGCAGCGAUCAAUAACAGGUGCGCGG
rnacentral:SRP_RNA from 1 species